rnacentral:misc_RNA from 1 species
UUAAGUUCAGCGGGUAUCCCUACCUGAUCCGAGGUCAAACAAAAGAGUUUUAAGGUGUUUACCUAUCAGCCUUCGCAGAGAUUACUAUGCGUGAUUGAUAGUUACCACCAAGUGUUUUAGGCAAGGCGUAAGCCAGUGCCAAUACUCCGAAGAAUAGUGUAAUGACGCUCGAACAGGCAUGCCCUUCGGAAUACCAAAGG